UAAAGCUGGAAAAUGAAAGUAAUUUUCCAAGGUGGCCAAAGACUGUUGCCUACCUCUGAAUUUUUAGCAUCUGACACUGCUUCUAAAUUACAUGAUGGUUUGGAGUACUGCUUCCUGCAAGUGUCUAGGUCAUGAAAGAAAAAGAGCCACAGGUGUGAGGAAAUUAAUUACGCAUGACAACUAAAUGCAACGUGGAACCUUGUAUUGAAUCUUGGAAAAGAAACAGGAUAUUAAUGGGAAAAUGAUGAAGUUCAAAUACUAUCUACGGAGUCUCACUCUUUCGCCCAGGCCAGAGGAUUCUAAAUCAAAUAUUUGGAGAACUAAAUCUCCAUUUAUGACAACUACUUUUAAAGCAAGAAGUAAAAAGAAGAGUAAAUCAUGGCAACCUCUUCUUAGUCUGUUUUCAUUGAAAGUGAAAGCAGAAGCAGGACAGUAAGAAGAGUCUAUUUUUGACAAAUUACUGCUGCUUGGUCUCUGAAAAAGGAGCACAAGUACUGUAAAGGCGUUCAGAACUGUUCUCUUAGAGUUAGGAGAAGACUUGGAAGCUGUAUCAGAGAGAGUUGAGUCUCAUGUUUAUGCUCAGUUAGAUAGAAGAGAAAACUCCUUUAAUUUGCUUGACAUUUUGCUGUUGGAAAAUGCAUAGCACUUGGGUUAAGACCCCUGUGCCUGAGUAUCUAACACUCAGCGGGGACAUAUUAGAAAAUUGGUAAACACAUACCUUGUGCCUUGUGCUAGCUAUCUCUUGGGACCUCAAUUAUAAAGUGAAGUGCACAUUUAUAUAAAAGUUUUGUUUGUUUUUGUUUUUGGAACCAAAAGCUGUUAAAGGACUUGUAAUGGUUUACAUACACGUACACAUCUAUGCAUUUGUCAUUUAAUAAUCUUUGAAGUCAUUGCUAACAAAAGGCUAAAGACAUACUAGCAAUUAGUGAGUAAGCUGCAGUAGGUGGUCUUUUCCAGCAACUAAAUUUCCUUUGGCACUGUCCCUACUCAUCCCCCACACUGCUGAUGAGUUCAAUAGACCCAGGUUCUGCUCACUCAACAUAUAUUCUCAGCAGGGCUGCAACCUUUCAGACCUGUGUUGUCUUCUUAACAACCCUCCUGAUGAUGCUUCAAAAUUGUCCUUUUCUUCCUUAAUUGUCUUAUUUUCAUCAAGAUGUAUAGAUAAAUAGCAUUCAUAUGAGUUGGUAAAUCAUAUAUUUUUCUAUUAAUUCUCCUUAGGAUGAAUAUGGUAAAUAUUGCCUACUUUAUUCUUCUAAGUACAUUUAAAAUGCUGUUCUUCAUAAUUCAAAUGUAUCAAGUGUAAGAGAGAGGCUGGUUGUCUCCGUUAUUCAAAACAGUGUUCAGGGUAUUUGCAUAUCAAUUAGACUACUAUGUAUAUCUAAGGUACAGUUUUUAGCUUUGCAAUUUUAUAAACGUUUUCCCUCUUCCACUUCAAAGUAUUUUGAUCUUGAGAAAUAGACAAAUCUUUUUACUAGAAUGUGACUUUACACAUUUAUUAUGAAACUGGGUCGGGUAAGAGAAUAGAUUUACAAUUGUCAUUUACACUGGGCCUUCAAUUUUCAUGAUUAAAUCUACUCAAACACCAUAAUACAGAUCAGAAAACUUUCUGGUGAGCAUACAUUUAAGAAAGCAGACUUUCUAAUUCUAUUGUUUUUUCUAAUAAUAGAGCUGUGUAAGUAUUUGGAUAGACAGAGUCCACUACCAAAAAUAACUAAAAUGUUGGAUUAAACAAUUACUAAAUACUACAUGACAAAUGCUAUGGUUUAAAUGUAUCUCUCAAAGUUUAUGCAUUGGAAAUUUAAUCCACAGUGUGACAGCACUGAGAAGUUGGACCUUUAAGGUUGAUUAGGUGACGAGGGUUCUGCUCUCACGAAUGGAUUAAUACCAUUACUGCUGAAGUGGUUUAGUUAUCUGGAGGGCAGAUUCCUCCUGAAGGAUGAGUUCAAUCCCUUCCCUCUUUCUUUCUCUCUCACCACGUGAUGGCUUCUAUCAUCCUAUGAUGUAGCAAGAAAGCCUUUACCAGAUUCAGCCCCACGAUCUUGGAUUUCUUUGCCUCCAGAACCAAGAGCCAAAUAAAUUUCUACAGAUUAUAAAUUACCCAGCCUGUGACAUUCUGUUAUAGCAGCGCAGAAUGAACUAAGACUACAAGAUAACAUGAAAGUAAUUAAUAUCCCACUAAAAUAAUGACAUUGUUGACACACUAGUUAGUGAGUACACAAGGAAAUUUGAGGGCUGAGAUCAUGCAGCUUAUAAGUGAAAAAAGAUAAAGCUUGUUACAAAUUUGAGAACAAUCCUAAAAAUGUACACUACUUUACUAAUAACAGGUUGAGAGGCUUAAAGGGAAAAUAUUUAAAAUGAUAAAUAAUAUCAAAAAAGUUUAAGAAUUUUUGCUUAGGAAACACUAAAUCACCUUUCUUUUCUCUCUAAAGAAAAUGAUAUUAAAAUUAUGAUAUGAAGGGACUAUUAAGACUAUACAGCUAAAGUGUAAAAAAAUUACAAAUUAUAAAAGCAUGUUAGAAAAGUAAUUAAUAAAAGUAUCUUAUUUUCCAAAUUGUGUGAUUAGCUUUAAAAAUCUCAUUAGUAAUUUUCUCAUUCUUAAUAAGUAUUCACUUUUUGAAUUAAUUUUCUUUUUGUAAUUUUGUGUUAUUUCCCUUAAAAAGAGCCCCAAAUUACACAAGAUUUAGGCCCCACAAAGCCUACAAUUCCCCCUGGUAAAGCAUUAAGAGGAAGUUAGAGAUGCAAAGCUACUCACUGUAAUGCUUACAGGACUUAUAAUAUUACAUCAUAAAAAUAUGUGCCUGAAACUGUCAUUAAUAUAUUAUUCAAAUGUACCACAGACACCAUGUUUAUACCAAAUAAAGUGUUAUUCAUUAUAAACUUUAAUUACUCAAAAUUAUCAUAGGACAUGUAACAUGAUUUUUUAAAUCUCUCUUUCUCUCCCUUGCUCUCUUUUUCUCGGUGUAUCUGAAGCUCCAAAUAGUACUUUAUUAUUCCACAAAGAUGUAUUAGACAACCAAAGGAAAACUUGCUAAGGAAGUUGCCAAGAACAAUUCAAUUCUUAGCUGACCACCUAAGUUCUGCUAGGAGUUCUUCCAGGAGUCGCCAAGAUGGCAGUGACUAUUCAAGAGACCUCCAUAAAGAGAGUUUGUGGUGUGCCUAGAGUUCCCUCACCAUAGUGAGGAGAGGUGGUGGAACCUCACGUCCAUUUCAGUGAAAAUGCUUCAUAUUUCUUCUGGAAUGCAGACAGUGCAAGGUGUGUGUUCAACCCUUAACUGACAAAUUUAAAACAUAUUAUUUACCUGAGAAAGUCUGAAUCAGCUGAAGGAAAGGCUGGUUCAAUAAAUGAAAGUUGCCCAAAGAAUAUGUUUCUUAUAGAUCAGAUGUUAGAGUCCUUUGUAAUAAAGCUUAAACUGAAAAGGGAUAGAGGAUCCUAAGCAAGCUGCCAGAGGAGAUGAAUUUGCCAAUUUUAAGAGAGUUAGAGAUGGAAAAUUCUCUGUGACAGGAGGGUCUACGAAACACCCAUCUUCAGUAGAUUUUGAGUGUUAGUCUUGGUAGUAAGUGAUACGGUCUUAGAAAUGGACUUCCCAGUAGCCAUGGGAAUAAAGAAAUAUUAAUGUAAUAGAGGACAAAUGGCAGCAUUCCAUUGUCACAGGCAAGGUGGAUGCAAUCACCACAAUAGGUGACAAGUUUGUAGAAUGGCAGCCAGGGUUGCCUGUUCUGCUGAGAGAUAAGGAGAAUAUUUAAAAGAACGCACAGUGUUCCAAAGCACAACACGGAUGUACAGCCAAUAAAGAUACUGUUUCAUUUAUACAAACAAAUGAAAUUAGGAAUGAAUGAUCAGAAAAUGGAAGACAGUGUUCUAAUGAAAAGUGAUAAUCUCCUAUCAGUUUCCAGCCUCAAACCAGUUAUCAUACUUGGAACUCAUUGACUAAAAGAGAGACCAGAUUCCAAGAAGAAAGGGCACUGCAACUGUGGGAAUUGUCUGCAGUAAUGAUUACCUAGUUUUUUUGCAAAGGGAGUCUAUGACUUUUUACUCAGGUAACUGUACACUAGGGAAGUGGGAAAUCCAGGGAUUUUUUAUUUUUAUUUUCUGGCCCUGAUGGGCAGAGGGUCAAUGUUUUAAUUGAUAGAAAGGGAUCCAAAGUAUCAUCAUGGCUCAUAGCUGAGUUUCUCUACAAAAUUUUCUGUGUUGAGAGGACCUGCAGGGACAGAUCAUAUUGAAUAGCUGGUCCUUCUGAAGAAUGUUGAGAUGCAAACAUCUACCCUACUUUACUCAAGUUUGGCCAACUCUAAAGGGCCAUCUUAGUUUCAGGGCUUCCUGUGGGAUCAACUGAGGCCUCUGUCGUUACUGCAUCACAGCUCGGCCUCUCCAUCUGCCUAAACCUGCUCCCUUUACUUCCUCGAAAGUGUUUCUGGAGCAUUCCCCAAUAAAUUUCCUACAUGCAAAUUUCUGUCUGGGAACCUUUUACCUGGCAGUCUUACCUAUGCACCACUACCCAAGCACCAUCCAAUGAGAGGGUAUGUCAGCUUCAAACACUGACCAAGCCCAGAGAGUUCCAAUAGCUGCUUUUUAUUCACCUCAUCUGUAUUCCACUUCUGUGAAUCUAGAAUUAGGAAACUGGGGGAGUAGAUGAUCCAAGUGGAAAAAUAGAAAAUAUAUAACUAUUGAUUCUCUUAUUUUACUCCAGAUACAAUCAGUCUAAAGCAGACCAGAGUUGGGAGAGGGAGAAAUUUUAACUUUAAAUAUGCAUGGGUAGGUUCACUCUGAACACUUAAAUUUAAAUUCUUUUCUUAUAAUUAAUUGUUGUGUUACAAUUUUAUUGAUAUAUCCCUGAAAUGCUUUUAUAUGACACUUAAAACAUUUGUCCUGUUUUGGUUAUUUGUCCUACAGUUUUGCAAAUACAUCUGAGUUUAAAAGGAAGGAAACCAUCCAUCAGUCUGGUUUUGAAGCUGCUCUUGCAAUAUUAUGAUAUAAUUUAUCCAUAAUUAUAUUAAUUGUUCCACAUUAACUCAGUAUUGAACUUCUAAAAGUAAUAUCAAGUGUGUGUUUUGUGGAUUUUAAACAAUUGUAACAUGUCAAGACAGUAAAAUUAAUUUCUGAAGUAUUAAAAAUAUACCCAUAUCUACUGGUUCAAAGUGAAUUUUAAAUAUGUAAAAUACUGCAAUGGGUUUCUCAAAUAAAUUAAUGAUUUCACAUUACAUGUAUAAGGUACUAAUUCUAUAAAUUUUAUAACUGUAUCUGCACAUCUACUUUUAUUUUUCUAAAUGUAUUAUACAUAUGGGGUCACUUUAUAAUAAAGUUCUCAAUUAGCUAUUAUGCAAUACUUACUCGAGGAAGAAAAGUCACUUAGUACUUUCACAUGUGUUUUUGACCUGCAAAGUGGAUGGAUUAAGCUAAAUGCCUUUAAGGUUCUUUAGCGAGUCAAUGGUUGAGUCAAAAGAUCCCUUCAUUUAGUUGUUAACCAAUUAAAGACAACUUUACUUAGAUAAACUUGAUUUUAUCUGCAUGAUUUCAAAUAAUAUAAUUUGCCUUAUCCUUCACUUUUCAAAAGAAUAUAGGAGACAUUGCAGAUAUUCAUUACUAAUAUUUCAGUCUUCCAUGGACUGCUUUGUUAUUGCAUAGACCGUGUAUCCCAGUUGUAUUUCUUAUUCUUUUCUUAGGUAGUGGACAAACUUGAAACAAGCAAAAGUGCAAAAAACGUUUUACACUAAGGAUUCCCUACAGUUAGUAACAAAACCAAUCAUUGCACCACUUUAUUGGAGGAAAAAUUUCCAAGCCAUGCAAUGCAACACCUUCGUAUAGAUUUAAAUUUUCUUGCCAGAGUGUUGAACACCUCAGUAUUGGGAACAGGAAUAAAAAGACUUUCGAUAGAUCAACAUUACAUUAAAAAACAAAGUAAUAUAAGCCUGCCUAGCAAGCAGAGUGACAGUUUAUAUUCUAAAAUAUGUCACCCUUAUAUUUGAGUCUAAUGUAAUUUUUCCCCUACCAGUAGGAUAUCAUAAAACUGAUGAUUUUAAAAGUAUGUUACAUAAAUCUAAUUUCAUAUUUCUUUACUUCUUUUUCCUUUAGUUCUUAUUCUUUCAA
rnacentral:lncRNA from 10 species